GCGGCCGUGGUGGAACGGCAUACACAGCGGACUUAAAAUCCGCCGGCGAAAGCUUGCGGGUUCAAAUCCCGCCGGCCGCACCA
rnacentral:tRNA from 1 species